ACCUGCUACAACUAAACACAACAUUACAACCUGCUACAACUAAACACAACAUUAUCGACCUGCUACAACUAAACACAACAUUAUCGACCUGCUACACAGAGAGGAACCAAGCAUAAAUGUCUUUUUCCAUUGAUUGAAAAUAGCUGUCACUGCAGGGGGAUGUUUGUAGCCAUCUUUUCAUUUUAUUUUCUCCUUCAUGUGGGAACAUCUAUAAUAUUAGACCCAUCUCUUUAUUCUCUUGAAUGACCUGUACAGACCAGGGUCUGUACCGACCCCGAGCUGGACUGAGGAGGUUUUAUACAGACCAGGGUCUGUACCGACCCCGAGCUGGACUGAGGAGGUUUUAUACAGACCAGGGUCUGUGAUCAACCAAGAUGGACUGAGGAGGUUUUAUACAGACCAGGAUCUGUACCGACCCAGAACUGAACUGAGGAGGUUUUAUACAGACCAGGGUCUGUACCGACCCAGAGCUGGACUGAGGAGGUUUUAUACAGACCAGGGUCUGUGAUCAACCAAGAUGGACUGAGGAGGUUUUAUACAGAUCAGGGUCUGUAUCGACCCCGAGCUGGACUGAGGAGGUUUUAUACAGACCAGGGUCUGGACUGAGAAGGUUUUAUACAGACCAGGGUCUGUACCGACCCAGAACUGGACUGAGGAGGUUUUAUACAGACCAGGGUCUGUACCGACCCAGAACUGGACUGAGGAGGUUUUAUACAGACCAGGGUCUGUACCGACCCCGAGCUGCACUGAGGAGGUUUUAUACAGAACAGGGUCUGUACCGACCCCGAGCUGGACUGAGGAGGUUUUAUACAGACCAGGGUCUGUACCGAGCUGGACUGAGGAGGUUUUAUACAGACCAGGGUCUGUAUCAACCCCGAGCUGGACUGAGGAGGUUUUAUACAGACCAGGGUCUGUACCGACCCAGAACUGGACUGAGGAGGUUUUAUACAGACCAGGGUCUGUACCGACCCAGAGCUGGACUGAGGAGGUUUUAUACAGACCAGGGUCUGUAUCGACCCCGAGCUGGACUGAGGAGGAUUUAUACAGACCAGGGUCUGUACCGAGCUGGACUGAGGGGUUUUAUACAGACCAGGGUCUGUACCGAGCUGGACUGAGGAGGUUUUAUACAGACAGGGUCUGUGAUCAACCAAGAUGGACUGAGGAGGUUUUAUACAGACCAGGGUCUGUAUCAACCCCGAGCUGGACUGAGGAGGUUUUAUACAGACCAGGGUCUGUAUCGACCCCGAGCUGGACUGAGGAGGUUUUAUACAGACCAGGGUCUGUACCGAGCUGGACUGAGGGGUUUUAUACAGACCAGGGUCUGUACCGAGCUGGACUGAGGAGGUUUUAUACAGACCAGGGUCUGUACCGACCCAGAGCUGGACUGAGGAGGUUUUAUACCUGGUCUGUGUUCAACCAAGAUGGAAGAGGAACGACUCAAACAUCCGAAUCUUAGUGCCAAGGUUACCGUGGAAACAGAGGAGGGGAACUGAUUUGUCUAAGUAACUAAUAUUAAAACAUUAAAAAAA
rnacentral:lncRNA from 1 species